CUUGAUACUUGUUCAAAUAUGUUAACAUGAAACCUUUCAUGCAAUAUAUUAACUUCACUCUUGUAAGUCUGCUCUAGAAUCAAUAUUAAGCAGACGUUGCAGCUGUGGUCAUUCAGUUUAUGUUAGAAUUUGCUUUUUCUUAUGGCAUGGUGAUAGGAUACUUGUUCAAAUAUGUUAACAUGAAACCUUUCAUGCAAUAUAUUAACUUCACUGUUGUAAGUCUGCUCUAGAAUCAAUAUUAAGCACACGUUGCAGCUGUGGUCAUUCAGUUUAUGUUAGAAUUUGCUUUUACUUGAUACUUGUUCAAAUAUGUUAACAUGAAACCUUUCAUGCAAUAUAUUAACUUCACUCUUGUAAGUCUCCUCUAGAAUCAAUAUUAAGCAGACGUUGCAGCUGUGGUCAUUCAGUUUAUGUUAGAAUUUGCUUUUACUUGAUACUUGUUCAAAUAUGUUAACAUGAGACUUUUCGUGUAAUAUAUUAACUUCACUCUUGUAAGUCUGCUCUAGAAUCAAUAUUAAGCAGAAGUUGUAGUGACUGUGGCAGUUAUCUUUGUUAGAAUUUGCCUUGACUAUGGCAUGGUGACAGGAUACUUGUUCAGAUAUGCUACAAGAAACUUCUUAGUUCACUCUAUCUAUUAACUUCACUAUUCUGAACUGUCCCAUAAUCAAUAUGGAUUUGAUCAAGUAGAUGAGCAGAACAUUGCAGUGAGUGUUGCAGUUAUCAUGCUCAUGUCGUCUAAAUGUGAUAUUUCCUUU
rnacentral:lncRNA from 1 species